AAACUGAGUGCCAGAAGCAGGAUACAGUUUUCUGAAAGCUGUUUUCUAUUUCAACAGCACACUGGCCAGACAAGAUUUUUAAGAUCUUGUUUUAUACCUAAGGUUUGGGGAAGUGAUCCACUACAGGCUCUCAUGAUCUUCUGUAAGGAAGAGCUUUGGCAAGACUGAACACAUUCACUGAUCUAUAGCAGAAGAGUAUCAGAUUGGAUUGGAUGUGGUGUGGUCUCAGAUAUGGUCCAGGAAUGGAGCCCUGUGAGAAGACUUCUGAGCCCUUGUGAGAAUAUUCUCAAAAAAUCCAGACAAGAUCCUUGUGACCAUAGUUUCCUCAAAAUACCAAGUUGUCCAUGGAAUGUGUUUUCCUUCUUCCCUGGUGCUUUGAAAAGGAUACACUGGAAACAACAAUAUGGCAGUAACCGAAACAGCUCCAGGAACUGUAUCAGGAGCAAGAAUAUUGUAAUUGCAAGGUGAACAAACCUUUGUGGUACCAGUGGAAAAUAUACAAAAUAAUUGUAUUAGAUGUAUGUUUGUAGAAGGUAGAAAACUUGGUGUUCAGCUAGAUCUACUUGAGU